AAAAAGUUAGUUAAAAUAUAACCUUAAUAUGUCAUAUUAAAAUUAUCAAAAAUUUGAUACUUUUUG
rnacentral:tRNA from 1 species